AGGCGGGCCUCGGGGCCUGCAGCGGACCGGGGGCGGGGCUCCGAGGCCUGAGAGCGGCGACCGACUUCUCAGCAGCCUCGCCUGUCCGAUCCCGCCAGCCUCCUGAUGCUGCUCAAGGACAAUGACCGGCCUGAGCCCGUGCCCAGUGGGGUGCGCGAGCUCGCGCUCUUCCUGACCCCCGACCCCGGGGCAGAGGCAAGGGAGGUGGAGGCAGCCAUCAAGGGGAUGCUCCUCCUGCUAGAAGAGUUUUGCAGCCUGACGGACAUGUUUUACCAACAGGCUGCCCUCCUUUCCUUCCCACCUGCUGACUGAUCAGUAGCACAUUUCACUGAGCAGAAAGAUGCGUGGAAGUUACCCGGCUCCCGGCUCCCGGCUCCAGCCCUCUGGGCGGUGGAGAUCCAUGGUCCCCGUCCGUCUGUGUGGAUGGUGAGUGCAUCGCUGGCUUCCUGCAGCCCUGAGGGCUCAGGGCUCGUCCUCCCUGUGGUGGCUUGGCUGGGCUGCCCAGCUCGGCACGGGCUGCAGACGUUCACGCUCCUCUGCCAGCAGCUCACUCCAGACCAGCGUUAGUGUAGCAAGCGGAAAAUUGGAAGCGGCUCUGGGACAGGAUGGGAGGGGGCUUUCUUCUGUGUUUAUGGCUAGAUGGGAGGCCCUGAGCCUCCAGCUCCAGGGCAGGGACAGAUGCAGCUC
rnacentral:lncRNA from 1 species